GACGAACCGAGAGAACGUUGUUCGGAAUCACUGGGCUUAAAGGGCGCGUAGGCGGGUGAUCAAGUCCGGGGUGAAAUCCUGCAGCUCAACUGGAGAACUGCCUCGGAUACUGGUUGCCUCGAGGAAGGUAGGGGUGUGUGGAACGUUCAGUGGAGCGGUGAAAUGCAUUGAGAUUGAACGGAACUCCGGUGGCGAAGGCGACACACUGGACCUUUUCUGACGCUGAGGCGCGAAAGAUAGGGGAGCAAACGGG
rnacentral:rRNA from 1 species